AGAUGAACGUUUAGAAGCACCUUGGAAUUUAGUGAUAAACUUGAAGAAAACAGAAAUAACCACUUCCAGAUGUGCUCUUCCAAAUGUCUUCCUAUGCAUUUAUAUACAGAGGACACAGGUUCGAGCCCCGGUCCGGGAAGAUCCCACAUGCCGCGGAGCAACUAAGCCCGUGCGCCACAACUACUGAGCCUGCACGCCACAACUACUGAGCCCGUGUGCCACAACAACUGAAGACCGCGUGCCUAGAGCCCUGCUCCGCAACAAGAGAAGCCACUGCAACGAGAAGCCCACGCACCGCAACUAGAGAAAGCCCGUGCAUGGCAACGAAGACCCAAUGCAGCCAAAAAUUAAAUAAAUAAAUAAAUAAAAUUGUGGACAGAGAAAGAGAAAUACUGUAUGAUCUCAAUUAUAUGUGGACUCUAAAACAAACUCAUAGAAAAAAGAGAUCAGACUUGUGGUUACCAGAGUCAGAGGGUGUGGGGAGGGGGAAUCAG